rnacentral:SRP_RNA from 1 species
GCUGGGCAUGGUGGCGUGUGCCUGUAGUCCCAGCUACAUGGGAGGCUGAGGUGGGAGGAUCACUUGAGCCCUGGAGAUCGAGGCUGCAGUGAGCCAAGAUUGUAUGCCACUGCACUCCAGCCUGGGAGACAGAGCGAGACCCUGUCUCAA